ACGCUGGCGGCACGCCUAACACAUGCAAGUCGAACGAAGUAGCAAUACUUAGUGGCAGACGGGUGAGUAACAUGUAGGUAUCUACCCUUUGGCCUGGAAUAACACGAGGAAACUUGUGCUAAUACCGGAUAAGUCUUUACGGAGAAAGCUUUAUGCACCAUUGGAUGAGCCUGCACUUGAUUAGUUUGUUGGUGGGGUAAUGGCCUACCAAGACUGUGAUCAAUAGCUGAUUUGAGAGGAUGAUCAGCCACAUUGGGACUGAGACACGGCCCAAACUCCUACGGGAGGCAGCAGUGGGGAAUCUUGCACAAUGGAGGAAACUCUGAUGCAGCGAUGCCGCGUGAGUGAAGAAGGCCUUUGGGUUGUAAAGCUCUUUCGUCGGGGAAGAAAAUGACUGUACCCGAAUAAGAAGGUCCGGCUAACUUCGUGCCAGCAGCCGCGGUAAUACGAAGGGACCUAGCGUAGUUCGGAAUUACUGGGCUUAAAGAGUUCGUAGGUGGUUGAAAAAGUUGGUGGUGAAAUCCCAGAGCUUAACUCUGGAACUGCCAUCAAAACUUUUCAGCUAGAGUAUGAUAGAGGAAAGCAGAAUUUCUAGUGUAGAGGUGAAAUUCGUAGAUAUUAGAAAGAAUACCAAUUGCGAAGCAGCUUUCUGGAUCAUUACUGACACUGAGGACGAAAGCAUGGGUAGCGAAGAGGAUUAGAUACCCUCGUAGUCCAUGCCGUAAACGAUGUGUGUUAGACGUUGGAAAUUUAUUUCAGUGUCGCAGCGAAAGCGAUAAACACACCGCCUGGGGAGUACGACCGCAAGGUUAAACUCAAAUGAAUUGACGGGGACCCGCACAAGUAGUGGAGCAUGUGGUUUAAUUCGAAGAUACGCGCAGAACCUUACCAACACUUGACAUGUUCGUCGCGACUUUAAGAGAUUAAAGUUUUCGGUUCGGCCGGACGAAACACAGGUGCUGCAUGGCUGUCGUCAGCUCGUGUCGUGAGAUGUUGGGUUAAGUCCCGCAACGAGCGCAACCCUCACUUUUAGUUGCCAUCAUUUAGUUGGGCACUCUGAAAGAACUGCCAGUGAUAAGCUGGAGGAAGGUGGGGAUGACGUCAAGUCCUCAUGGCCCUUACGUGUUGGGCUACACACGUGCUACAAUGGUAUUUACAACAGGAAGCAAAACUGCGAAGUUAAGCAAAUCCUUAAAAGAUACCUCAGUUCGGAUUGCACUCUGCAACUCGAGUGCAUGAAGCUGGAAUUACUAGUAAUCGUGGAUCAGCGUGCCACGGUGAAUGCGUUCCCGGGUCUUGUACACACCGCCCGUCACACCAUGGGAGUUGGUUCUACCUUAAGGCAAGGUUUCAAACCCUUGACCACGGUAUAGUCAGCGACUGGGGUG
rnacentral:rRNA from 1 species